UACGUAGGGGGCUAGCGUUGUCCGGAAUCAUUGGGCGUAAAGCGCGUGUAGGCGGUCCGGUAAGUCCGCUGUGAAAGUCGGGGGCUCAACCCUCGGAUGCCGGUGGAUACUGUCGGGCUUGAGUACGGAAGAGGCGAGUGGAAUUCCUGGUGUAGCGGUGAAAUGCGUAGAUAUCUGGAGGAACACCGGUGGCGAAGGCGGCAUCCUGGACCAACACUGACGCUGAGGAGCGAAAGCCAGGGGAGCAAACGGG
rnacentral:rRNA from 1 species